ensembl:lncRNA
GUUUUGUUGUGCCAUUGUACUGAUGCCAAGUUUCCACUGGCUUUAAAUGUCUGAUGGCUGACAUUCAUUCUUACAAACACUUCUCUGAUAGAGAAACAAGGUCACUUAGUCCUACUAAAAGUAAAUAAAUAAAAAGUAAAACCUGCAGAAAAUGUCUGGAAAGUCUUUGAAGGAACAGUAACCCUGAGCAGUUUUCUGACUUCCUAAGGAAGAGAGAAGGCAAGGAACCAAAAAGAAGGAAGUGCAGAUAAAUUCCGAGCCAUGGCAGAGCAGGAGAUACAGCUCCCGUUCAGAGCAGAUCUCUUACAGAAACCAAGGAUGGAACAUGGAAAUUUUUGGAGCUUGACCAGUCCUGGUUAUUCCUCCUCUACAUCAUGCUGUUCCAGUGAAUUCUUCUACAGUGGCUGUAGACACUGCUUGGGGACACAAUGGGUAAUUCACAUCCUUUUAAGGUUGGAAGUGAAAAACAGACUACAGAAUGACAGGAGAAAGGAAAAUGCUGGUUUUCAUGGCUUCAUCACUGUUGAACAGAGCAGCCUUAGGUUGGGUCAUUUCUUUGUGCCGGAGGACUUUUCAAAGGAUGCUGAAGCUUUCAUACUACACGGCUUACAGUGCAGAUGGAACAGGACGUGUCGUUAUGUUUACUGUGUGUGGCUGUCAGUGCUUAGCAGUAAGGUGUGCUUGGUUAUUAGCAAUGUCUGGUUCCUGUAUCACGAACCCUACGCCUGCAGCUUUUCUCCUGCCUUUGCCUCUCAGCUGUGAAUUACUGCACUGGUGUGUCUGUGCUCAGGACUACCCAGAAGGAAACACACAAGGCCCAUUUCUGGACUUCAUGAGCUACAAUGUUCGGUGCUGCACAGGUGAGCAUGGUGUGGACAGCAGCACAUGGAUGGGCAUGUCAGGGAAGUACCACAGGGAAGAGCACAGCAAUGCCUUCGAUUCCCCCAGGCUCUUCUCAUAACAUCCUAUGCAAAAUGUCUGCAACAUGGGGAUGUUGAGCAUAGCAAAAGCACAAGCACUAGCAUCGCCAGUGGAAACACUUAUCUGGAAAGAAUGUUCUUCAUUGCACCAUUGGGGAAAUUAAAUCAAAUUAAGC